rnacentral:rRNA from 1 species
UACGUAGGGGGCAAGCGUUGUCCGGAAUCAUUGGGCGUAAAGAGCGUGUAGGCGGCCCGGUAAGUCCGUUGUGAAAGUCCAGGGCUCAACCCUGGAAUGCCGAUGGAUACUGCCGGGCUAGAGUUCGGAAGAGGCGAGUGGAAUUCCUGGUGUAGCGGUGGAAUGCGCAGAUAUCAGGAAGAACACCUAUGGCGAAGGCAGCUCUCUGGGACGGUACUGACGCUGAGACGCGAAAGCGUGGGGAGCGAACAGG